CCGAGAUACUGAAACCAGAACUUGAAGAACUCCAUACCAAAACAUGUAGAUGCAAAGUCAUGACCUCUAGCAUGUUCUACCAGUGAGGCUAUCCAAAGCCACUACCAAUAUUCAUAGGAGAAAUUGUAUAAUGAAUCUAACAGCCCCAAAGCACAGAAUAAUCAAUGCUGCUCAAGUCAAUAUCACAAGUAGGGAAGAAGGGGGAGGAGCUUAGCCAUUUUGAGAAGUGGACUAAAGAAAUGCAUAAAAAGGUUAACUGUACAGAUGCAUACACAAACAGCCCUUUUUUUCCCUAGUUGAAUAGAUGUCAAUGACAUCAGAUAUCUAUAAAGAGUUCGCUGCAAUAAUGCAUAUGCAGACACUUUUUUAAAAUUUUCAUCUUCAUACUCUGAAGUUGAAAUUAACAAGUGCAAAAGCUAAUUUUUCAGGAUAACAACAUAAGCAUAAAAAUGGAUUAGAUACAGAAGGGAUAAAAAGUCAGUUGCUUUGACCCAAAAAAAAAAAAAAUUAGCACAAAUUAAAUAAACAAAUUAUUUCAGUUGCAAACUGGUGGGUUUAGACAUCUAUAUACAGCAGAUGCUGGUUGCUGGUAAGUAGGAAUGCUACUGGUAUCAACAAAUCUGACUUCCCCAGGAUCAAAUGAAAGAUCCCUAUG
rnacentral:misc_RNA from 1 species